GGUCCUAUAGCUCAGACGGUUAGAGCACCUGACUCAUAAUCAGGGGGUCCCUGGUUCGAUCCCAGGUGGGACCA
rnacentral:tRNA from 1 species